rnacentral:lncRNA from 1 species
GUUUGAAGAAGUGGUCUAUGCUUGGAGUGCUGUUGUUAGGAAUUGAACAUCCCAUGAGACAGACAAUUAGAAGGAAUUGAUUUCAAUAUUCUUUAAGGUAAUAAUGAGAACUAGUGUUCUGAAGUGCUCUGAAAAAGACCCAUAUAUUUUGUAGACCAAAUGAUCAGAUAGAGAGAGUGUACUUCACUGGGAAAUCUUCAUUCUGGAUGAAUCUAUCUCUGCAAAACAGGGUCCACUGGAGAUGUUGGUACAGGCCUCUGGGCACACACUGCUGCUGCUGCUGCUGCGCCACUUCAGUCGUGUCCGACUCUGUGUGACCCUAUAGACGGCAGCUCAACAGGCUCCUCCGUCUCUGGGAU